CGGGGCGUGGCGCAGCCCGGUAGCGCACUCGCUUGGGGUGCGAGUGGUCGUGGGUUCAAAUCCCGCCGCCCCGA
rnacentral:tRNA from 1 species